rnacentral:rRNA from 1 species
GAUGAACGCUGGCGGCGUGCCUAAUACAUGCAAGUCGAGCGAACGGACGAGAAGCUUGCUUUUCUGAUGUUAGCGGCGGACGGGUGAGUAACACGUGGAUAACCUACCUAUAAGACUGGGAUAACUUCGGGAAACCGGAGCUAAUACCGGAUAAUAUUUUGAACCGCAUGGUUCAUAAGUGAAAGACGGUCUUGCUGUCACUUAUAGAUGGAUCCGCGCUGCAUUAGCUAGUUGGUAAGGUAACGGCUUACCAAGGCAACGAUGCAUAGCCGACCUGAGAGGGUGAUCGGCCACACUGGAACUGAGACACGGUCCAGACUCCUACGGGAGGCAGCAGUAGGGAAUCUUCCGCAAUGGGCGAAAGCCUGACGGAGCAACGCCGCGCGAGUGAUGAAGGUCUUCGGAUCGUAAAACUCUGUUAUUAGGGAAGAACAUAUGUGUAAGUAACUGUGCACAUCUUGACGGUACCUAAUCAGAAAGCCACGGCUAACUACGUG